CAGCCCCUCGAGUGGUGGGGAUGAUUAUUUGGCCUAAAGCGUCCGUAGCCGGCCGAGUAAGUCCCCCGUUAAAUCCAGCGUCUCAAGCGUUGGACUGCGGGAGAUACUACUUGGCUAGAGAGUGGGAGAGGUCAGCGGUAUUCUGGGGGUAGGGGCGAAAUCCUUUGAUCCCCGGAGGACCACCAGUGGCGAAGGCUGCUGACUAGAACACGUCUGACGGUCAGGGACGAAAGCUGGGGGAGCAAACCGGAUUAGAGACCCGAGUAGUCC
rnacentral:rRNA from 1 species